rnacentral:rRNA from 1 species
AUAACGACUCUCGGCAACGGAUAUCUCGGCUCUCGCAUCGAUGAAGAACGUAGCGAAAUGCGAUACUUGGUGUGAAUUGCAGAAUCCCGCGAAUCAUCGAGUCUUUGAACGCAAGUUGCGCCCGAAGCCAUCUGGUCGAGGGCACGUCUGCCUGGGUGUCAC